AACAAAGGACAUCAUCAAGAAAACAAAAUUACGCCCUAUCCCAUCUGACCUCAGAAGCUAAGCAGGGUUGGGCCUGAUUAGUACUUGGAUGGGAGACCACCUAGGAAGAUCAGGUGCUAUAGGCA
rnacentral:rRNA from 1 species